GACGAACGCUGGCGGCGUGCCUAAUACAUGCAAGUCGACCUUAGUGGCGAACGGGUGAGUAACACGUGGGUAACCUGCCCAUCAGACGGGGAUAACACUUGGAAACAGGUCCUAAUACCGCAUACUGAUGGAUGGACCGGGGGUGCAUUAGCUAGUUGGUGAGGUAACGGCUCACCAAGGACACGACGCAUAGCAGACCGGAGAGGGUGAUCGGCCACAUUGGGACUGAGACACGGACCAAACUCGUACGGGAGGCAGCAGUAGGGAAUCUUCGGAAAUGGACGAAAGUCUGACCGAGCAACGCCGCGGGAGUAAAGAAGGUUUUCGGAUCGUAAAACUCUGUUGUUAGAGAAGCGGUAUCUAACCAGAAAGCCACGGCUAACUACGUGCCAGCAGCCGCGGUAAUAC
rnacentral:rRNA from 1 species